GAAGAAGAAGAAAGCUGCUCAAGCAGCUGCAGCACAUGCAGCAGGAGAAGGCCGGUAUGGAAGUCGAAGCGGCGGCGGCGGCGGCACCACCGAAGAAGAAACAGGACUCGACACCUGCUCCAACCAAGAAGAAGAAAAAGACUCCUGCCGGAUCCCAGGGGGACGUCGAGAUGGCGGACAUUGAAUGAAGGGACGACGGGAUGACGCCGUCUCUCAGAGGAGUCGUGCAGCGCCGCACGUUUCAGCUGAACGGACGAGUUUGUGUUUGAACUGAACUCUGAAGUACGACCGAGUGUUUAAUCUGAGUUCGUACCCAGACGGACGUUAAUUCGUCUGCACCUGUUCGAGUCAGACAAGGUGUGUUUUAUGAAAAGAUGCUGGAAGGAUGCAAAGAUUGUGAGUGACAGGAACCUAUGGAAGGCCGCGAACGCCAGGAAAAUUAAAGAUACUCAUAUUAAAUCAAAGUGCUGGCUCUGUAACCAUCUCAUAAUUUGGAUUAGUUUUCCUUUUAUCUGUUAAUGUGGACUAACCAAAGGUUUAGUGUUGUCAUUGUGCUUCCGUAGCAUCACGUCGUCACUCUGCUGUGAUUACGGAGGCUUUGUUUCUUGAACCACAUUAAUCAAAAUAUUAAACAGUUUAUUGCUGGUAACAUUUAA